AGUGAACGCUGGCGGUAGGCCUAACACAUGCAAGUCGAACGGCAGCACAGUAAGAGCUUGCUCUUACGGGUGGCGAGUGGCGGACGGGGGAGGUAAACAUCGGAAUCUACUUGUUCGUGGGGGAUAACGUAGGGAAACUUACGCUAAUACCGCAUACGACCUACGGGUGAAAGCAGGGGAUCUUCGGACUUUGCGCGAUUGAAUGAGCCGAUGUCGGAUUAGCUAGUUGGCGGGGUAAAGGCCCACCAAGGCGACGAUCGGUAGCUGGUCUGAGAGGGUGAACAGCGACACUGGAACUGAGACACGGUCCAGACUCCUACGGGAGGCAGCAGUGGGGAAUAUUGGCAAAAGGGGGCAAGCCUGAUCCAGCCACACCGCGUUGGUGAAGAAGGCCUUCGGGUUGGAAAGCCCUUUUGUUGGGAAAGAAAAGCAGCAGGUUAAUACCCCGCUGUUCUGACGGUACCCAAAGAAUAAGCACCGGCUAACUUCGUG
rnacentral:rRNA from 1 species